UACGGAGGGUCCGAGCGUUAUCCGGAAUCAUUGGGUUUAAAGGGUCCGUAGGCGGUUUGGUAAGUCAGUGGUGAAAGCCCAUCGCUCAACGGUGGAACGGCCAUUGAUACUGCUAAACUUGAAUUAUUAGGAAGUAACUAGAAUAUGUAGUGUAGCGGUGAAAUGCUUAGAGAUUACAUGGAAUACCAAUUGCGAAGGCAGGUUACUACUAAUGGAUUGACGCUGAUGGACGAAAGCGUGGGUAGCGAACAGG
rnacentral:rRNA from 1 species